CUCCACCUAACUACCGCCACCACCGUGUCCCCCGACCACACCAUCCACCCUUCCUCACCCCCACCAUCACCACAAUAUAUCACCCUCUCCUUCCAAUUCUCUCUUUCUACUUUGUCUACAGUCCUCGCCCUCUUCUUCCUCGCCUUCGCUACUCUUUCGCCACCAUGAAAAUAGUGAUAGUUUGAAACACAGAUCUGAAUGUCGUCGUCUAACGUUAAACUGUCUGCGCCCUUCUCUUCUCAAAUCCAAAGAAACAUGGAUGAUAGAGGCUGACGAUGGGCGAUCGUGGAUGAGGACGGUGGCGGUGUUGGCCGAUGAUGAAGUGGGAG
rnacentral:lncRNA from 1 species